rnacentral:rRNA from 1 species
UACGGGGGGAGCAAGCGUUGUUCGGAUUUACUGGGCGUAAAGGGCGCGUAGGCGGCCACCGCAAGUCGGUUGUGAAAUCUCUGGGCUUAACCCAGAAAGGUCAACCGAUACUGCGGGGCUAGAGUGCAGAAGGGGCAACUGGAAUUCUCGGUGUAGCGGUGAAAUGCGUAGAUAUCGAGAAGAACACCGGUGGCGAAGGCGGCCAUCUGGACGGUGACUGACGCUGAGACGCGAAAGCGUGGGGAGCAAACAGG